GCCCAUAGAGUACAACUGCACAACAAAUAGGGGAAUUUUUCUUUCCAAUCUUGCUUGCACCGUCACCCUCAGACAGUUGUUGACUGAAUUACAGGUCCCGAAUGGAAUAGGGGCUUUCUUGGGAACUGUGCAACUAGUAUUAUAUGCAUACUACAAAAGUGCAUCUAAAGAAGACACUAGAGAACCCUUGCUGGAGUCUUGUUCAUAAACAUGGAACAGAUAUACAGCGAGGUAUUUCUUGAUGAUCUACACCCUGAAUAACACUUUGCAUACCUUCAAAUCUCUUGAAGAUUGAUGAAAGUUCCUAUGCAACAUUGCUUUAUGAGCUGCCAUGUCAUUACUUUGGCCUGCAACCAAUCCUAGUCACAUCCCCAUCGUAGGUGGUCUUGAGAGUCUGGGUGAAGGAUCGUUACAAAUAUAUCAACACUUCCUGGUUUGUCCGACGUUCUGGUUUUCAUGGUCUUCUUCUGCGCUGAGCCUUUUUUGUUGUAAUUAUUACUACUCUAAAUGAGCAUGUCAGUAAUCUUUAUGUACAUGAUUAAGAUUGAAGCCGUUGUGUAAAUUCAUCCAUUACAAAUUUUUGAAAAAAUUCCUGUUAUCGGGUGCA